rnacentral:rRNA from 1 species
CACGGGGGGAGCAAGCGUUGUUCGGAUUCAUUGGGCGUAAAGGGCUCGUAGGUGGCUUUGUAAGUCGGAGGUGAAAUCCCACGGCUCAACCGUGGACACGCCUUCGAAACUGUGAAGCUUGAGGCUGGGAGAGGAAAUCGGAAUUCCUGGUGUAGCGGUGAAAUGCGUAGAUAUCGUAAGGAAGACCAGUGGCGAAGGCGGGUCUCUGGACAGUUCCUGACGCUGAGGCACGAAGGUCAGGGGAGCAAACGGG